CUGGCUCAGAACGAACGCUGGCGGCGUGGCUAAAGCAUGCAAGUCGAGCGCGAACGUCCCUUCGGGGAACUACUAGAGCGGCGAACGGGUGAGGAAUACAUGGGUAACGUACCUCCGGCACAGGGACAGCCGCGGGAAACUGCGGAUAAUACCUGAUGAGACCACAGCGACGUAAGUUGCAGUGGUCAAAGGGUGGGGAUCCCUUCGGGGACCUAUCGGCCGGAGAGCGGCCCAUGUCCUAUCAGCUUGUUGGUGGGGUAACGGCCUACCAAGGCAUCGACGGGUACCGGGAUUGAGAGGUUGACCCGGCACACUGGGACUGAGACACUGCCCAGACUCCUACGGGAGGCUGCAGCAACGAAUCUUCGGCAAUGGGCGCAAGCCUGACCGAGCGACGCCGCGUGCGGGAAGAAGCCCUUCGGGGUGUAAACCGUUGUCAGGGGUCACCAAGCAAACGGGCCCAACAGGUCCGGGCGCUGAGGAGCCCCAAAGGAAGCCACGGCUAACUUCGUGCCAGCAGCCGCGGUAAGACGAAGGUGGCAAGCGUUGUUCGGAAUCACUGGGCUUAAAGAGCACGUAGGCGGCUCAUCAAGCGUCUUGUGAAAGCCCUCGGCUUAACCGAGGAACGGCAGGGCGAACUGAUGGGCUUGAGGCAGGCAGGGGCGAGUGGAACUCUCGGUGGAGCGGUGGAAUGCGUAGAUAUCGAGAGGAACGCCAGAGGCGAAGGCGACUCGCUGGGCCCGUCCUGACGCUGAGGUGCGAAAGCCAGGGGAGCGAACGGGAUUAGAUACCCCGGUAGUCCUGGCUGUAAACGAUGUCCACUAGGUCGAAGGCCCUCUGACGGGUUUUCGGCUGAAAUGAAAACGAUAAGUGGACCGCCUGGGGAGUACGGUCGCAAGGCUAAAACUCAAAGGAAUUGACGGGGGCUCACACAAGCGAUGGAGCAUGUUGCUCAAUUCGAUGCUACGCGAAGAACCUUAUCCUGGGCUUGACAUGCACGGAUGCCCUUGCCGAAAGGACAAGGGUUGCCCUUCGGGGUGAAACGUGCACAGGUGCUGCAUGGCUGUCGUCAGCUCGUGUCGUGAGAUGUUGGGUUAAGUCCCGUAACGAGCGAAACCCCUGUCGCUAGUUGCCAGCGGUUCGGCCGGGAACUCUAGCGAGACUGCCGGUGUCAAACCGGAGGAAGGUGGGGAUGACGUCAAGUCCUCAUGGCCUUUAUGCCCAGGGCUGCAAACGUGCUACAAUGGCCGGGACAAACCGACGCCAAGCCGCGAGGCGGAGCAAAUCGGAAAAAGCCGGCCUCAGUUCGGAUUGGAGUCUGCAACUCGACUCCAUGAAGCUGGAAUCGCUAGUAAUCGCGCAUCAGCGCGACGCGGUGAAUGUGUUCCUGAGCCUUGUACACACCGCCCGUCAAGUCAUGGAAGCCGGCAGCGCCCGAAGUCGCC
rnacentral:rRNA from 1 species